AAUUGGACCGAGUGCAAUGGUGUUUACAAGUAAUUGAUCACAACCAGUUACAGAUUCCUUCAUUCUUUCUCCACUCCCACUGCUUCACUUGACCAUAAA
rnacentral:Y_RNA from 1 species